ACACCUCAACUCUCACGGUUUCUCGUGAUGAGCUUGGACUUGGGGGUUUUGUUGGCCUGUGGUCAGCUCUCCUCAAAUGAAUUAGCUUGCCGGUGUCUGGCGGCAUCAUGGGUGUGAUAACAAUCUACGCUUGUGAUCGUCUGCGAGGUAAACCUCUGGUCUGCAGAGGUUCGCCGGAGCUUAUAGAUGUCUCUCCUCAGUGAAGACAGCUGUUUGAA
rnacentral:misc_RNA from 1 species